rnacentral:rRNA from 1 species
CUAAGGGUAGAACGAUGCAACUGCGAUUGCCCUAGUAACGGCGAGUGAAGCGGCAGCAGCCCAGAUUUGGAAUCUGGUCCUUUUGGGGCCCGAGUUGUAAUCUGCAGAGGAAGCGUCUGGUGCGGUGCCGGCCUAGUUCCCUGGAACGGGACGCCGUAGAGGGUGACAGCCCCGUACGGUCGGCCACCAAACCUGUGUGUCGCUCCUUCGAAGAGUCGCGUAGUUUGGGAAUGCUGCGUAAAGUGGGAGGUAUGCUCCUCCUAAGGCUAAAUACCGGCCAGAGACCGAUAGCGCACAAGUAGAGUGAUCGAAAGAUGAAAAGCACCUUGAAAAUGGGGUUAAAAAGUACGUGAAAUUGCCAAAGGGGAAGCGCUCGUGGCCAGACUCGUGCCUUAUGGAUCAUCCGGCUAUUUCGCCGGUGCACUCCAUUAGGCUCGGGCCAGCGUCGGUCGGCGCCGGUACUAAAAGACAGCGCGAACGUGGCUCUCUUCGGGGAGUGUUAUAGCGCGCUGUGUAAUGUGCUGGCGCCGUCCGAGGACCGCGCAUUUAUGCAAGGACGCUGGCGUAAUGGCCACUAGCGACCCGUCUUGAAACACGGACCAAGGAGUCGCCCAGAGACGCGAGUGUGCGGGUGACAAACCCCUGCGCGAAGUGAAAGCGAACGCUGGUGGGAACCCUCACGGGUGCACCACCGACCGAUCCUGAUGUCUUCGGAUGGAUUUGAGUAUGAGCGUUUCUGGUCGGACCCGAAAGAGGGUGAACUAUGCUUGGGUAGGGUGAAGCCAGAGGAAACUCUGGUGGAGGCCCCGUUUGGGUUCUGACGUGCAAAUCGAUCCAUAAACCUGGGCAUAGCGGCGAAAGACUAAUCGAACCUUCUAGUAGCUGGUUCGCAUUCUCUCUCUCACGAGAGAGAGAAUAACCUCGGGGAAAAAAGGUUCUAUAAGGGUUUCUCCGUCUUUCACGCUUAGCCAGGAUUUCGCAUCAAAACGCACGCGGAACUCACCAGGUUUCUCUGGAGUUCCUCUGCAUCAUAUAUCACUCUAUCGCACCUAUUCAGGUCUACAAAAAGCCCAUCCUAAAUCUUCGAAGAAUAGGAUGAUCGGUGAGUAUCCCGAGGUUCUCUCCUUCCCAUUCAUUCUACGACAUGUCCCUCAUGCGACCUGGGCAUCUUAAUAGGUUUCUAAGGGCUUAGCGCCCCUUAGCGAACUGGGGAAUUGAAGGGCCAAUAUGACAGCAAUAAAGGCUAUAAAUCCAAAAGACGUUGUUUUCUUUUUAACGCCCGCGCACCAUAGGAAUGAUAGAGAG